rnacentral:lncRNA from 1 species
UGACAUUCUCCAUGGCUGUAUCUGUCAUAGAUCAUGUGGGUUACAUCUGUCAUCUCGAAUCCCUUCAGACUGCGAGAGCUCCAGAAAUGUGAUCUGUUGGCAAAGCCGUUUGAUGCUCGAUGGCAGCUUCCUUUGGAUGUGUCCUGAAGCUGCGGAGGCCAGGGAGGAUCCCGCUCGUCUCCAGAUGGUUUGGGGCUUGUUACAGAUUGGAGGAAGCCCUGGGGUGAGGGGGAAGGUUGAGUAAUUACUAGUGUCUGGAAUUACACGAACGCCCUGGGGACAGGCUGGAACAGGCAGCUUUGCCUCUCCUAGAUGCCCCACUGCAGAGCCCCGCAUCAACCCUUGGAUCCAAGUCUGCCAGGUUGUAUCUGUUUGCUCGGGAUGCCAUAACAAAGGACCACAGACUGGGGGGUUUAAACAGCAGAAGUUUACUUUCUCACAGUACUGGAGGCUGGAAGUCUGAGGUCAAGGUGCUGGCGGUGUCGGUUUCUCCUGAGCCCUCUCUCUUUUGCCGUCCGCUGUGUGGCUGUGGUCUUUAAGUUGGAGUCUGUGGAGACAAAGAGGGAGGUCUUGCUGUGCCUGACCCUCUGGGAUGUGUUACCACCCACGCCGACCUGCUCUCUGCGGCUUUCUGACAGCACCUCACAGCCCUGGAACUGGAAAUGUGGCUCUCACUGAAGCUGCCCAGAGAGAGGGUCUCUCAGUGAAGACCCCCUGUUGUCAGCUGGGGCAGCCGGAAAGAAAGACUGGGAAUUCUCUUCACACAGGAUUUGAUAUGCUUGGUGGCUCCAGAAAAAUGCAAGUGUGCACAUUCAUCCACUUGACAAAGGGUGACUUAACUGUCAGUGUCCUGUGGAUUCAAACUGAAAGGGUUUGGGCGAAAGAAAGAAGAAGGUGGGACUGCGAAUAAAUUGAAAACAGCAUUUUGGAGGCAACAGCUGUGAAACAGAAGGGAAGGAAAAUUUAUGACCAUAUACAUUUCAGUAGGAAUUUAUAACUUUUUAUGAACAUUAUCUUAAAGUUAGUCUCUAGACAUAGGUCUAAAAAUAAAAUUAUGCUGAACUGUGUACCCAGAGAAUGGUAAAUGGGAAUAACGUUCUUGAAAGGGAUGACGUAGGUCCAGGGAAAGGUCACAUUGAAUAAUCAAGGUCGGUGAAGGUCAAAAUCACAAAGAAGGACCCUGCAUUCACUCCUGUCCUGAUGGCAGCUUCAGUGGAAACCCUUGGCCAUCGCUUUGCCUCUCCAAGCAUUCGAGAAAGACCGUCUGGUGCCAUAUUGUCUUCUGGGGACAGCUGAUCACCUGGGGAGAGCUGCAUCGUGCUCCUACCCGUGUCAGAUCUGGGCAGAGGACAGACAAAAGUCCUCUGGAGUUUUCCGCAGUGAGAGUCACAGAAGUUCAUCUAAGGAAUUGGAGCCAAGGUUAGAAACUUCUCUGGAGAUGUUCUAGUUUUGUUUGCUAGCUCGGCAGCUGCGUAAUGACACUCCCUCCAGCAGGGCACAUAGUUCACUUCAAAUGACAAAUGGUGGGACCUUAGUAUUUUUCACUGUCGGUUAAUUAUCAGAAAUAGAUUUGUUGCUAUCUAGAUACCAGCCAUUUGUCCAAAUUACUAGGAUAAGAUUCCCAAGAAAGCCUGAAAUCAGAUAGCUUUCUCCUCCUUAUUUUAAAAUAAACAGAAAUAAAAUUAUUCUGCUACAGGUGGGUUUCUCUUCUCCCAGCAUAUGUGACUUGACAAAUUGUGUGAAAAUGGUUUUCAGAAAUUCAAUUUCUGUUGCAAGUGCACCAAAUGUUUAAAGAAACUGCAGCGUCAGACGCUGUAUGGGGUAGGGUUGCUGAAAUUCAGUGCUCUGGCCGGGGUGAAUGGGACCUGGUGGGUGUGAGUGUAGUAGGGUUGGGGGUAGCUGGCUGCCCAAAGGGAUGUGAUGAACUUGAGCUUGACUGAGUCUAGUUUCAGUUCCAAGGGAUUCAACCUGGUGUUUGGAAAACGCUCAUUUCCUAGAUCCUGAGCGUCCUGUCCUUUUGGAGCAGGACUGCAGCUGGCUGCUUAGGGAUGGAAGGAGGCUCCCUGCAGGGGAAAGUGUGGCGAUACGCAGGUAGGACUCAACAUCGCAGCCAGGCAGACUGAAAGGCAGAACCAGCCUCAGAUGCCACGAUUAAGUCCACGGGGCCAGAGUAGGGUGGUGCAGACUGCUUCACACUCACACUCUGGAGACAGACCCCGGGGAAAAGAGUACUGGACUUUAGGAUAAUGGGCCCCUGUAAUUUGAGCUGGCUUCACCUUUCUUAUUAAUCCAGUAUAUCUCACAAUUAAGCAUCUCCUAAUUUGUUUGUUUGUUUGUUUCUUUUUUUUUUUUUUUUUUUUUAAGAUGGAGUUUUGCUCCGUUGCCCAGGCUGGGAUGCAGUGGUGCAAUCUCGGCUCACUGCAACCUCUCGCUCCCAGGUUCAAGUGAUUCUCCUGCCUUAGCCUCCCGAAUAGCUGGGAUUACAGGUGUGUGCCACCAUGCCUAGAUAAUUUUUUUUUUUGAUGUUUUCUUCGUAGAGGUGGGGUUUCCCCACAUUGGCCAGGCUGGCCUCGAACUCCUGUCCUCAGGUGAUCCACCUGCCUCGGCCUCCUAAAGUGCUGAGAUUAUAGGCGUGAGCCACCACGACCGGCCCAAUUUGUUUCUUUUGUGAGUCAUUUUACAAGGCUUUGUUAACGGGCACCCCGAUUGCCUACGGGACACAUUCUCUGAGAUGACUAAUAACACCUCACAUUUCAGAAAGCCAACAGAACUUGAGUUUCCCACUGCAAUCAGUGAUACCAUACUCAAAACGCAGUAUGAAUCUUAGAUUCUUCUCCUUGUUUCACACCUUCUAUUCGAUCCAUUAGCAGGUCCUGCUGCCUUUACCUACAAGAUAUAUCCUAAAUCUGGCUGCUUCAGCCACUUCUGCUACAGCUUCAUUUCAAGCCACUGCCAUCUCUCCCUGCAACUGCUGGACUAGCCCUCUAACUAGUGUCAUUUCAUCUACUUCUGUUUUACUUAAAACCGAAAUAUGUUUUUGUCACUCCCUUGUUCAAAAUCCUCCUAUGGCUUUCUACAAACAUUUGCACAAAAUCCAAAAUCUUCACCAGGAGGUCCAAUGUGACCAGGCUCCUGGCUAUCCCGUGGCUUCAUAU